AUGGCGCGCACUCUCUUAAAGGCGAAGGGUGUCCCUGGGCAUUUUUGGGGAGAGGCAGUCACCACGGCUGUUUACCUGCUCAACCGCUCCACGACCAAGAGCGUGGCGAAGAUGACGCCGUACAAAGCAUGGUGCGGCAAGCGACCUGCCGUCCAUCAUCUUCGGGCGUUCGGGUGUAUCGCCCACGUCAAGACAACGCGCCCAAAUGCAAAGAAACUGGACGACAGGAGCCAACCGAUGGUGCUGCUCGGGUAUGAACCUGGCACCGCGGCGUACCGGGUGUAUCAUCCGGCGACAGGGAAGGUGCACGUCUCCAGAGAUAUCAUCUUCGACGAGCAGGCCGCUUGGGCCUGGAGCAAGCCCGAGGGAGCAGAAGAGCCAGCGCCUGUUCAGGGCUCGUUCGUCAUCGAGGAGGCGUACUGGCCAGCGGUCACCACGGACACUUUCGACGCGGUGCCCACGACGCCGAUGCCGUCCGCGUCACCCCGUACGGCUGCUGCAACGCCCACGCCCUCGAGCAUGGAAACGACACCGACACCCCAGUCCACUGAGCAGGGCUGGGAGACGAGCGCUGGACAGGCUGCAGCGGUCAACGUGCAUCCUAUGCGCACCCGCGCCAAGGAGGGCAUAGUGCAGCCGAACACGCAGCUGGCUGACUACGUCCUGUUUGCCAAGGAAGAAGUGCAGCACUCCUGUCUGCUAGCUGCAGAAGAACCAGCGUCGUACGACGAGGCCAAAUCUGUGAAGGGGUGGUGCGACGCCAUGGAAGAGGAGAUGCGGAGCAUCGUCGACAACCGCACCUGGGAGCUAUGCCAGCUCCCGCCUGGGCACCGCGCCAUCGGCCUAAAGUGGGUGUACAAACUGAAGAAGGACGCCCAAGGCGCCGUGGUCAAGCACAAGGCGAGGUUGGUUGCAAAGGGAUAUGUCCAGCGGCAAGGGAUCGACUAUGAAGAAGUGUUCGCGCCGGUCGCCCGGAUGGACUCUGUGCGCUUGCUGAUCGCCCUCGCCGCACACCACGACUGGCAGGUGCACCACAUGGACGUGAAGUCUGCGUUCUUGAACGGCGACCUGCUCGAGGAGGUAUAUGUGCAGCAACCGCCGGGAUACGUGCAGACCGGAGAAGAAGGCAAGGUGUUGCGCCUCCGCAAGGCCCUGUACGGUCUGCACCAAGCUCCGAGGGCGUGGAACGCGAAGCUGGAUGACAGUCUGAUCACUCUCGGCUUCGAGCGCUGUCCGUCAGAGCACGCCGUGUACCGGCGGGGCACAGGAAGUUCACUGCUGCUCGUCGGGGUUUAUGUGGAUGAUCUCAUCAUCACAGGCGUGAGCAUGAAUGAGAUCACAAGUUUCAAACAGCAGAUGACCAAGCUCUUCCGCAUGAGUGACCUGGGCAAGCUCAGCUUCUACCUUGGCAUUGAGAUACACCAGGAGCGUGACCAGAUCACACUCUGUCAGACAGCAUAUGCCAAGCGACUGUUGGAGCGGGCUGGGCUGGCAGACUGCAACUCCCUCAGCACACCAAUUCAACCAAGACUGAAGCUGAGCAAGGAUGGCGUCGGGGAUGCAGUGGACGUCACGUACUACCGGAGCAUCAUCGGAGGCUUGCGGUACCUGACGCACACAAGGCCUGACAUAAGUUUCGCAGUGGGAUAUCUGAGCAGGUUCAUGGAGGCCCCUGCUGCAGAUCACUAUGCUGCGGUGAAGAACCUGCUGCGCUAUAUAGCAGGAACACUGGAGUAUGGAUGCGAGUUCAGGCGCGGGAAUGGCGAGCCGAAGCUGAUAGGUUUCAGUGAUGCAGAUCAUGCCGGGGAUAUAGUUGAUCGGAAGAGCACGACGGGCACCAUCUUCUUCCUCGGUGAGAGCCCUGUAAGCUGGCAGUCGCAGAAGCAACGAGUGGUGGCCCUCUCUUCGUGUGAGGCUGAGUAUGUUGCAGCCACCACUGCUGCCUGUCAAGGAAUUUGGCUGGCACGUCUACUUGGAGAGAUGUUGAACAAGGAGACUGUGCCGCCAAAACUGUUCGUUGAUAACAAAUCAGCGAUCUCUUUGUCGAAGAACCCUGUCUUCCAUGAGCGGAGCAAGCACAUCGACAUUCGGUACCACUUCAUUCGGGAGUGCGUGGAGGAAGGAAAGAUCGACAUCGACUACGUUCGAACCAAUGAUCAACUUGCUGAUACUCUGACCAAGGGACUUGGGCGUUUGGCGUUCCAGGAGCUAAGGAGGAGGAUCGGCAUGACUGAUGUCUUUAGGAAAUAA
rnacentral:rRNA from 1 species